rnacentral:rRNA from 1 species
GACGCUUAUGCGUUGUUGGGUAGGGGAGCGUUCUGUAAGCCUGUGAAGGUGUGCUGUGAGGCAUGCUGGAGGUAUCAGAAGUGCGAAUGCUGACAUAAGUAACGAUAAAGCGGGUGAAAAGCCCGCUCGCCGGAAGACCAAGGGUUCCUGUCCAACGUUAAUCGGGGCAGGGUGAGUCGACCCCUAAGGCGAGGCCGAAAGGCGUAGUCGAUGGGAAACAGGUUAAUAUUCCUGUACUUGGUGUUACUGCGAAGGGGGGACGGAGAAGGCUAUGUUGGCCGGGCGACGGUUGUCCCGGUUUAAGCGUGUAGGCUGGUUUUCCAGGCAAAUCCGGAAAAUCAAGGCUGAGGCGUGAUGACGAGGCACUACGGUGCUGAAGCAACAAAUGCCCUGCUUCCAGGAAAAGCCUCUAAGCAUCAGGUAACAUCAAAUCGUACCCCAAACCGACACAGGUGGUCAGGUAGAGAAUACCAAGGCGCUUGAGAGAACUCGGGUGAAGGAACUAGGCAAAAUGGUGCCGUAACUUCGGGAGAAGGCACGCUGAUAUGUAGGUGAAGUCCCUCGCGGAUGGAGCUGAAAUCAGUCGAAGAUACCAGCUGGCUGCAACUGUUUAUUAAAAACACAGCACUGUGCAAACACGAAAGUGGACGUAUACGGUGUGACGCCUGCCCGGUGCCGGAAGGUUAAUUGAUGGGGUCAGCGCAAGCGAAGCUCUUGAUCGAAGCCCCGGUAAACGGCGGCCGUAACUAUAACGGUCCUAAGGUAGCGAAAUUCCUUGUCGGGUAAGUUCCGACCUGCACGAAUGGCGUAAUGAUGGCCAGGCUGUCUCCACCCGAGACUCAGUGAAAUUGAACUCGCUGUGAAGAUGCAGUGUACCCGCGGCAAGACGGAAAGACCCCGUGAACCUUUACUAUAGCUUGACACUGAACAUUGAGCCUUGAUGUGUAGGAUAGGUGGGAGGCUUAGAAGUGUGGACGCCAGUCUGCAUGGAGCCGACCUUGAAAUACCACCCUUUAAUGUUUGAUGUUCUAACGUUGACCCGUAAUCCGGGUUGCGGACAGUGUCUGGUGGGUAGUUUGACUGGGGCGGUCUCCUCCUAAAGAGUAACGGAGGAGCACGAAGGUUGGCUAAUCCUGGUCGGACAUCAGGAGGUUAGUGCAAUGGCAUAAGCCAGCUUGACUGCGAGCGUGACGGCGCGAGCAGGUGCGAAAGCAGGUCAUAGUGAUCCGGUGGUUCUGAAUGGAAGGGCCAUCGCUCAACGGAUAAAAGGUACUCCGGGGAUAACAGGCUGAUACCGCCCAAGAGUUCAUAUCGACGGCGGUGUUUGGCACCUCGAUGUCGGCUCAUCACAUCCUGGGGCUGAAGUAGGUCCCAAGGGUAUGGCUGUUCGCCAUUUAAAGUGGUACGCGAGCUGGGUUUAGAACGUCGUGAGACAGUUCGGUCCCUAUCUGCCGUGGGCGCUGGAGAACUGAGGGGGGCUGCUCCUAGUACGAGAGGACCGGAGUGGACGCAUCACUGGUGUUCGGGUUGUCAUGCCAAUGGCACUGCCCGGUAGCUAAAUGCGGAAGAGAUAAGUGCUGAAAGCAUCUAAGCACGAAACUUGCC